GGGCUAACUUACUGAAAGGUGAGGGCGCAAAGCCAUGGGUCUAAUAGCAAAAAGUUGCUUAUGAUCGCCAGGUUGCCA
rnacentral:ncRNA from 1 species